ACCUCUUCCCAUACCGAACAGAGAAGUUAAGCCCCUUAUGGCCGAUGGUACUGGUAUUCCAACCGGGAGAGUAGGUAGCUGCCAUAU
rnacentral:rRNA from 1 species